rnacentral:lncRNA from 1 species
ACUGCCUUCUUCAUCUCCUCAGCGCCUUUGCCUAGGCCUCUAAAGCCCAAAGCUUCUCCUCAAGCAAGAACUUCACUCAGUUGAACCCAAUGAGACUCUUGCCGAGGACAGUGAUAUCAUGGGCCAACUGCAGCAAAAAAAAAUAAGCCAAAAACUUCAGUCAAACAAUGAAAAGUAUUGUAGAUUUGUACCUCAGCCUCGGCUGUGAUAUUCUC